rnacentral:rRNA from 1 species
UACGUAGGUGGCAAGCGUUGUCCGGAUUUAUUGGGUUUAAAGAGCGUGUAGGCGGCCAGAUAAGUCCGCUGUGAAAUCUCGAGGCUCAACUUCGAGCUGUCGGUGGAAACUGUCUGGCUAGAGUCCGGAAGAGGAGAAUGGAAUUCCUGGUGUAGCGGUGAAAUGCGUAGAUAUCAGGAGGAACACCGGUGGUGUAGACGGCUCUCUGGACCGUAACUGACGCUGAGACACGAAAGCGUGGGUAGCAAACAGG